CACAGAGACCCCGCAGCGUGUGAGCGAGUACCCACGACAACGGCGCACCUAUUGGAUUGGGUGGGGUGGGGGGGUGUAGAUAGAGGGAGGGAGGGUGAGAGGGUGAGGAAGGGAAUGGUGGUGAGGAAGAGAGAGAGGGAGAGGGGAGGAGAAUUAGACAGACUGACUGACUGACUGAGUGAUUAACAGUGAGAAGAGGUCAGGGUGGAGGGGGGAGGGGGGGCCAGUGUCUUUAUCAUAUUGGUCUGUUGACAGAAAGCAUAGCUGCGUCAUGUGACUCCACUAAUCAGGUCAUAGGAGCAGCUUUGAGCCACAGACAGAGAUCCUGCAGCGUGUGAGCGAGUAACCACGACAACGGCGCACCUAUUGGAUUGGGUGGGGUGGGGGGGUGUAGAUAGAGGGAGGGAGGGUGAGAGGGUGAGGAAUGGAGGGGUGGUGAGGAAGAGAUAGAGAGGGAGAGGGGAGGAGAAUUAGACAGACUGACUGACUGAGAGUGAUUAACAGUGAGAAGAGGUCAGGGUGGAGGGGGGAGGGGGGGCGAGUGUCUUUAUCAUAUUGGUCUGUUGACAGAAAGCAUAGCUGCGUCAUGUGACUCCACUAAUCAGGUCAUAGGAGCGAGCAGCUGUGAGUCACAGACAGAUCCUGCAGCAUGUGAGCGAGUAACCACGACAACGGCGCACCUGUGCUCAUUAACGAUCUGCUGCAAAAGACAGAGACAUGGCAGCAAGUUACACAGAAUCCACACCUCACACAAAUGAGAACCAGCGCAAAACUAUAACAGCUAUCUAAAAAAUACGGCGUUUGUAUGAGACCCAAGACUCUACCGAACGCGUGGAUGUGCUUUUUAUGUCUGUCCGGUAAUAAAUACGGCUCCUAUGGCCGUUGACAGAACGUGUACCUUGUGGAUUUUUGUGAGAAAUAUGUCGG
ensembl:lncRNA